AGACGGUGUCUUGUCCUGCUCCUGAAAUCUGCUCCUACAUUCAUCCCAGUCAUCAGUCACAUAGAGGGUGUCUUGUCCUGCUCCUGAAAUCUGCUCCUACAUUCAUCCCAGUCAUCAGAAACAGAGCAUUGGGGUAGCUGCAUGUCUGACAUCCAAUGUACGCAAUUACAAUGAGAAUUUUAAAAUGGUUAGGUGGCCAUGGUGUAAUAAAAUGUUUUGCCUCGUGUGGUUGGUUUUGUGGGCUUUGACACUUUUAUGUAGGUGUCAUAACCAGCCAUACAAUAACAACUGUUGUGGGUUUUGACACUUAUGUAGGUGUUAUAACCAGACAUUAAAUAAUGCAAUGUGUGUCACAACAGGUCUAAAUGUGUUUCAUGACAAGUUGUGAGCGGCAGGUUGGGCCGGUAACCGAAAGGUUGCUAGAUGGAAUCCCCCGAGCUGACAAGGUAAAAAUCUGUUGUUCUGCCCCCUGACAACAAUGCAGUUUAACCCACUGUUCCCCUGAGAACAAGGUAGUUUAACCCACUGUUCCCCUGAGAACAAGGCAGUUUAACCCACUGUUCCCCUGAGAACAAGGCAGUUAACCUACUGUUCCCCUGAGAACAAGGCAGUUUAACCCACUGUUCCCCUGAACAAGGCAUUUAACCCACUGUUCCCCUGAACAAGGCAGUUUAACCCACUGUUCCCCUGAGAACAAGGUAGUUUAACCCACUGUUCCCCUGAACAAGGCAGUUUAACCCACUGUUCCCCUGAGAACAAGGCAGUUUAACCCACUGUUCCCCUGAGAACAAGGUAGUUUAACCCACUGUUCCCCUGAACAAGGCAGUUUAACCCACUGUUCCCCUGAGAACAAGGCAGUUUAACCCACUGUUCCCCUGAGAACAAGGCAGUUUAACCCACUGUUCCCCCGAGAACAAGGCAGUUAACCCACUGUUCCCCUUCUAAGCCGUCAUUGUAAAUAAUAAUUUGUUCUUAACUGACUUGCCUGGUUAAAUAAAUAAAUAAAUGAAAUGUCAUCUUUUAUGACAAUACGUAUUAUGAUGCUGGGAGUCAAAUGUCAUCACCAUUUGGAUAUUAGAGCGAUGAUGUCAGUCACACCAGAUUGUCUUUGUCUGUCUGUCUGCAACACGGAGCUUCUCAAAUCAUGUUACUGUUCCUGCCAAAAGGAACUGUCCGUCCGUCCUUCUGUGACACUGUGGGCUUCUCAGAUAGAGAUGUGACACUGUGGGCUUCUCAGAUAGAGAUGUGACACUGUGGGCUUCUCAGAUAGAGAUGUGACAUUGUGAGCUUCUCAGAUAGAGAUGUGACACGGUGAGCUUCUUCGAUAGAGACGUGACACUGUGAGCUUCUCAGAUAGAGAUGUGACACGGUGAGCUUCUUCGAUAGAGACGUGACACUGUGAGCUUCUCAGAUAGAGAUGCAAUUUUUGGGGGGGGUUUAAUUGACAAGAACUGUGACCACAUGACGCGAUGGACACACGUUAGAAUGUUACCAAAUACUGUUACAUGUUCUGCCAAUCAGGUCUGUUCUCUUCUCAGGCCCUCCUCUCUGUUUCAUCCUGGCACCAACAUAUAUCCCUACGGUCCUACACUGUGGAGUGAGUCCUGUCUACUGAGGCGAUGUUAUGUCACUAUUAGAUCAAUUACAUUUGAUUGAUGUGUUUUGUGUUGCUCAUUAGUGUUAUGAGAGAGUGAUGUGUUUGUAUUGCUCAUUAGUGUUAUGAGAGAAUGAUGUGUUUGUGUUGCUCAUUAGUGUUAUGAGAGAAUGAUGUGUUUUGUGUUGCUCAUUAGUGUUAUGAGAGAAUGAUGUGUUUGUGUUGCUCAUUAGUGUUAUGAGAGAAUGAUGUGUUUUGUGUUGCUCAUUAGUGUUAUGAGAGAAUGAUGUGUUUGUGUUGCUCAUUAGUGUUAUGAGAGAAUGAUGUGUUUGUGUUGCUCAUUAGUGUUAUGAGAGAGUGAUGUGUUUUGUGUUGCUCAGUAGUGUUAUGAGAGAAUGAUGUGUUUGUGUUGCUCAUUAGUGUUAUGAGAGGAUGAUGUGUAUUCUAAGCUUUUACCCAAAGAACUUUCACUUCACACCUUUUUACAAGCUGGAGGCUUGUAUUUUUCAUAUUUUCUGUAUGUAUUUUCUAUGUAUUGCUUUUGUAUACAACACAGACUGUAUUACUACAGUAUUAGUGUUUUUUAUGAUUUAUUACGAUUUCAGGAUGAUCAUCUAUAAACAUCAGGGAACCAUGUUUAGUUUAGAAUGCUGGUUUAUUAUUGUAUUAAAUAAAACAUUUGAGUUUGUAUGAUAAACGUCUGAACUACCAUUCCCCUGCUGUGAGUUUAAUGUGUCAACUGUACCAGGAUCCUGGAAAGAAAUGAAACCCUUUAACUUUCAAUAUAUUUACCAAGAACUGGACAAAAGAUGGGAAAACAACCGCUAGAUUGUAACUGUGCGUAAAGUAAAGUUGUGAGGCUUUAGCUCUUAAAUGUUUUUCGUGGAAGAAGUUUCUGAUUUUAGAUUUGAAUGGCAGAAAACAUUUGUGGAAGAUUUUCAUACUCGUCUAACUUGUUGGGAAAGUGGUCAGAAUGUCCUUUCAAACAGUCUGGAAGAAAAGCAGUUGGUUCGCUUCCUCAAACAGGUGGUGGCAUUCUUGAUCGGUAAAAGUUAUUUUCGUUCUGAUUUUGAGAUUUCAGUAGCGGAGAGGAGGAUGUCAGACCUUCUAGCACGUCCAACCUGUUGGGGGAAGUGGACCAAGCUGUUUUGUGUCAAAAGUCACAAUAGCCUGAAAAGUUGACACACAACUCGUCACACAGCCUGACACUCAGCCCGACACUCAGCCCGACACUCAGCCUGACACUCAACCCGACACUCAACCCGACACUCAAC
ensembl:lncRNA